GGGGGCGUAGCUCAGCUGGUUAGAGCGUUGCGUUGACAUCGCAAAGGUCACAAGUUCGAGUCUUGUCGCUCCCA
rnacentral:tRNA from 1 species